rnacentral:lncRNA from 1 species
UGACCUCUACAGAUGUCAAAGAAGUUCCUAAUCACACCUCAUAUCUGCUGAUUAGUACAACUGCCACCUAUCAGUGCUAUGAUUUACCCCUUUUCAAAGAGGAAAGUUUCUUCCUUCUCCUGCUGCUCAUCAUUACCUCCUCAAGUUCCUAUUAGGAGAGGCCCAGGACUGAGCUUGUACACUGAAGCGUUACAUCAUCACAGAUUGGACACCAAGAAACAAGAGCUGGGUUGAAAAACAAACUGGUUUGUAUUUUUUUUUUCCAGUUAAAAUGUGGAUACAGACUUAUUUUAUUCAGAUUUGCAGGCUUUUGCAGCUUUUCUGCGCAUCAAAGAUUUCUUUAAGCAUCUGACUUUCAGUUUUUUAUCAUUUCCUUUUUUUUUUCAAGAACUAUUUUUUUCCCCAAUUAAUUUGCUAAAACUACUACAAAUUCUUAAAACAUUUGUCAUAUUUUGGGGGGAAGAAAUGCUUUCGUUAAAUUGUUUAGUCCACUUUAAAACAAAAUGUAUGAGUGUGCUACAGUCUGAUACAUGAGAGAGUGAGCGACUGUGCACACAGACACUGAAACUACAGAUGUGAUUUGAACAGUAAGUGGUUAACGUAGAAGACUGAGGGCAUUCAGAAAGAGUAGAUAACUGACCUUGUAUUAUUUGUUCAGCUGAGAUAUGUGCUUAUAAAAAUUCAGUUAACAUGCUCUCUGCAGCUUCCUAGCUGCAACUCUGUUGGGAGCACAUGUCUCUAUUUAAAACGUGUGUUGUUUAGCAUCACUAUUUGUAUCAAAAUCCCCACUGUGAAUAGUCAGGUGACAAAUAUUCACGUGGGGAACCUUGUAUAAGCAGAAGUGCUAGGCCCCUUUGAAUGUGUAUGGGGAACAUUAAAAGGAGUGUUGGGGAAAGAAAUACAUCACCUCUCUCUGAUGUUAUGAUUUACUCAUGAGAAACCUAAUAAUGUGUUAUCAAUGAACACCCCAGUGUUGCAGAUGAGUGAGAUUUACAUGAAAAUUAACCCAUGAACUCCUCCAUCUAAGGCUUACUAAACUUAAAACUCAAGGAUAUAUCUCACCUUCAUCAUCGACCCAGUCCUAGAGAGGAGUGUCUUAUCAGCAAUAAAGAUAUACCAUUUCUGAAAGUUCUGAUUCA